rnacentral:rRNA from 1 species
AUUGAACGCUGGCGGCAGGCCUAACACAUGCAAGUCGAGCGAGCGGCGGACGGGUGAGUAAUGUAUGGGGACUGCCCGAUAGAGGGGGAUAACUACUGGAAACGGUGGCUAAUACCGCAUACUAUCGGAUAACCCAUAUGGGAUUAGCUAGUAGGUGGGGUAAAGGCUCACCUAGGCGACGACCGCUAGCUGGUCUGAGAGGAUGAUCCGCGCAAAUGGGAAUGAGACACGGCCCAGACUCCUACGGAGGCAGGAGUGGGGAAUAUUGAACAAUGGGCGAAAGCCUGAGGCAGCCAUGCCGCGUGUAUUAAGAAGGCCUUAGGGUUGAAAAGUACUUUCAGCGGGGAGGCGUUACCGACAGAAGAAGCACCGGCUAACUCCGUGCCAGCAGCCGCGGUAAUUC